rnacentral:lncRNA from 1 species
UUGCAAGUAGCUACAGGCCCGGGAGCCGAUCUGGGCUUGAGGCUGUGGGCUUGUGGGAAGGAAUACUGCUCUCAUUUUUCUUUGGCUUCCUCAGCAUCUCAGGAGUGGGAGUAGGGUAAGGAAGAAGGUGACUGUGUCUUGUAAGAUGAGACUUUCCCAGCAGGAUUCCUGGGUGCACAGGCCAGGUGGAUGAGCCCAGUGAGCAGACCACAAAGGAGACACCUCCUGGCCUGAGGGUUUUCUCUACUGCCAAGAAGCAGCUGAUCGCCAGCAUCCUUGACCUCAGACCUGCCACUUUUUAAGCUCCAUCAGAUCUGCUGCUUCCUGUGGUGACUGGUGGGCCUGGCUGUUGUGGGCAUGCUGUCUCUACUCAGUCAUCCUGAGCUGCUGCUGGCUGGGAGAGAGGCGCGGACUGUGGACCCGGGACUGCAGAUGCUGUCUCUGCGCACACAGGCACUUCUGUGGCCGCAGCACACUGGUGUGGAAGGCCUCUUUCUCCACCAGCUUCACUUCCUGCUGGGCUCCCCAGUCACCACCGGCAGCUCCCUCUCUCCUUCAAGCCCAGAACCAACCCAGCCUCAAGCCUUUGUUGCCAGAUUCAGGAGGCCAGAAGUCUGCAAUCAGUUUCGCUGAGCUGAAAUCAAGGUGUGGGCAGAGCCGUGCUCCCUCCAGGGCCUCUAGAGGAGGAUCCAUCUCCUGCCUCCUCCAGCGUCUGCUGGCUGCAGCGCUCCAAUGUCUGCCUUUGUCACAUCGCCACCUCUUCUGGAUCAUCUCCUGCUGCCUCCCUCUCAUACAGACACCUGGGAUUAGACCUGAUAUCUUUGGGAAGCUGUUAUCAAGUCGACCACAACAGCCUUCCCCCAAAUACACACACAGUUGUGACUGCUUAGUGCGUGAGUUGUGGGAAUCGGCCAGGAAAGGAUUUGAAGAGGAGUCAUCAUUAUCCCGGGACCAGCUAAGCCAAACUCUCCAGAGCCUCCAGGCAGGCCCACCUGGGCAUGGGGAUGUGGAGCAGGAAAGAGUGGAGGGGACAACUGUAUUUCUCCCCAAGUUGUGCAUCCCAUAGUCCUUACCCAAAGGCCUCUCUGAUGCCACCUGCCCUGCUCUCAGAUUGGGAAGCACUAGGGAGUUUGGGUAAGAGCCUGGGGGUAGGCUGAGACAAACCUGGGGGUGGACUGAGGCAUCUCCACCUACCAGCUGUGGUUCUCACAGUGUGGACUAUGGGCCGGCAGCAUCGGCAUCACUUGGGAGUUUAUGAGAAAUGCAAUUUCUCGGGCCCCACUCCAGACCUACUGAAUCACAAACUCUGUGGCGGAGCCCAGCAUUCUGUGUUUACUGAGCCCUCCGGGAGAUUCCGACGCACCCUGGAGUUUGAGAAGCACUAUUUUAGACUUUUCAUUAAGAAAUGUGGAUGGGGUGUCCCACACAGCAGAACCCGAAGGACCUCCAACUAGAAUAUACAACUAUGUACCAGGGGCUUUGGAGAGAAGAAGAAAAAGAUUGGCAGCAGAUGUUAGUCCAGGGCCAAUCUUAAAAAGAAAUAAAACAAAAUGUGGAUGCCAGGACCUACAGCAAACACACGGCAAGUGGUGGGAUUAAACGAAGUUAUGUCCACAGAGGAUUUAC